rnacentral:rRNA from 1 species
UACGGAGGGAGCUAGCGUUGUUCGGAAUUACUGGGCGUAAAGCGUGCGCAGGCGGUUUUGUAAGUCUGUCGUGAAAGCCCCGGGCUCAACCUGGGAAUUGCGAUGGAGACUGCAAGGCUUGAAUCUGGCAGAGGGGGGUAGAAUUCCACGUGUAGCAGUGAAAUGCGUAGAGAUGUGGAGGAACACCGAUGGCGAAGGCAGCCCCCUGGGUCAAGAUUGACGCUCAUGCACGAAAGCGUGGGGAGCAAACAGG